GCGCGGUUAGUAUAGUGGUUUAGUACUCUCGCUCCAAAGACGCGACUUGGGGGCCCCUCAGAAGUCGUUUGAGCGAGGAUCCCGGGUUCGAAUCCCGGACUGCGCA